CACGUAGGGGCCAAGCGUUGUCCGGAUUUAUUGGGCGUAAAGAGCUCGUAGGCGGCUCGGUAAGUCGGGUGUGAAACCUCCAGGCUCAACCUGGAGACGCCACCUGAUACUGCUGUGGCUAGAGUCCGGUAGGGGAGCGUGGAAUUCCUGGUGUAGCGGUGAAAUGCGCAGAUAUCAGGAGGAACACCGGUGGCGAAGGCGGGUCUCUGGGCCGAUACUGACGCUGAGGAGCGAAAGCGUGGGGAGCGAACAGG
rnacentral:rRNA from 1 species